UGCAGUCGAGCGGAUGACGGGAGCUUGCUCCUUGAUUCAGCGGCGGACGGGUGAGUAAUGCCUAGGAAUCUGCCUGGUAGUGGGGGACAACGUUUCGAAAGGAACGCUAAUACCGCAUACGUCCUACGGGAGAAAGCAGGGGACCUUCGGGCCUUGCGCUAUCAGAUGAGCCUAGGUCGGAUUAGCUAGUUGGUGGGGUAAUGGCUCACCAAGGCGACGAUCCGUAACUGGUCUGAGAGGAUGAUCAGUCACACUGGAACUGAGACACGGUCCAGACUCCUACGGGAGGCAGCAGUGGGGAAUAUUGGACAAUGGGCGAAAGCCUGAUCCAGCCAUGCCGCGUGUGUGAAGAAGGUCUUCGGAUUGUAAAGCACUUUAAGUUGGGAGGAAGGGCAGUAAGUUAAUACCUUGCUGUUUUGACGUUACCGACAGAAUAAGCACCGGCUAACUCUGUGCCAGCAGCCGCGGUAAUACAGAGGGUGCAAGCGUUAAUCGGAAUUACUGGGCGUAAAGCGCGCGUAGGUGGUUUGUUAAGUUGGAUGUGAAAGCCCCGGGCUCAACCUGGGAACUGCAUCCAAAACUG
rnacentral:rRNA from 1 species